UACGUAGGGUGCAAGCGUUAUCCGGAAUUAUUGGGCGUAAAGAGCUCGUAGGCGGUUUGUCGCGUCUGCUGUGAAAACCGGAGGCUCAACCUCCGGCCUGCAGUGGGUACGGGCAAACUAGAGUGCGGUAGGGGAGAUUGGAAUUCCUGGUGUAGCGGUGGAAUGCGCAGAUAUCGGGAGGAACACCCGUAGCGAAGGCGGCACUCUGGGCCGG
rnacentral:rRNA from 1 species